AACGAACGCUGGCGGCAUGCCUAACACAUGCAAGUCGAACGAGACCUUCGGGUCUAGUGGCGCACGGGUGCGUAACGCGUGGGAACCUGCCCUUAGGUUCGGAAUAACUCCCCGAAAGGGGUGCUAAUACCGGAUAAUGUCCUCGGACCAAAGAUUUAUCGCCUUUGGAUGGGCCCGCGUUGGAUUAGCUAGUUGGUAGGGUAAAAGCCUACCAAGGCGACGAUCCAUAGCUGGUCUGAGAGGAUGAUCAGCCACACUGGGACUGAGACACGGCCCAGACUCCUACGGGAGGCAGCAGUGGGGAAUAUUGGACAAUGGGCGAAAGCCUGAUCCAGCAAUGCCGCGUGAGUGAUGAAGGCCUUAGGGUUGUAAAGCUCUUUUACCCGGGAUGAUAAGGACAGUACCGGGAGAAUAAACUCCGGCUAACUCCGU
rnacentral:rRNA from 1 species